rnacentral:sRNA from 1 species
UAGGUAUAUGAUGUGAUGCGCCCGUACU